rnacentral:lncRNA from 1 species
UUGACAGACGAGAAAACUGGGGCUAAGAGGGGUGAGGACACCCCUCUGUCAUGGUGAUCAAGACGGCUAGGGGGCAGGGAAGGCGAGAAGAGGGAGGAGACACUGGUGUGACUCAUAGCAAAGUAAGAGCUUCUUCCCUCCUCUCUGCACCCCAAAUACGGUAAGUCUGUAAGCAGGUGUGGCACACACAGGCAGGAACCUGGGGUUUCCCCCACUUCCAAGAGGGACAG